CCCGGUGUAGUAUAGUGGUCUAGUACCCCUGAGUGUACCCUUUCGAGGGAUACUUUGCUACAGAGUGGCCAGGCAACAUGGGUUCAAAUCCCGUCAUCGGGA